AAAGAAGAUGUCUUGCUUUUCUCAGUCCCACCACUGGACCUUUAACGUGGUUUCAUGGAUCCCAAGGGAAAUGUUUUCUUUGUAUUUGACCAGACUGCCCUCUCCUUUCCAGAGGCAGGUUUGCGGGAUGGGAUCUCAGUAUGUUACCCAGGUCUUGAACUCCCAGUCUCAAGUGAUCCUCCCCGCUCAGCCUCCCAAAGUCCUGGGAUUACAGGCAUGCCACCAUACGAGGCCAGAAUCCAUUGUUUAAUUGGACUCAUCAAACAACAGACCAAUUGUCUAUUACUGGCAUUUUAUGGAUUUGUUACUGCCACUUUAUUUCAAAACACCUUAUAUCAACCAUUUUACUAUACCACAGUGACCACAUGGCCUGGAUUUUCCAGAGUAAUCCAGAUUUCAAUAUCAUGA
rnacentral:lncRNA from 1 species